rnacentral:rRNA from 1 species
UACGGGGGGAGCAAGCGUUGUUCGGAUUUACUGGGCGUAAAGGGCGCGUAGGCGGCGUGACAAGUCACUUGUGAAAUCUCCGGGCUUAACUCGGAACGGUCAAGUGAUACUGUCGUGCUAGAGUACAGAAGGGGCAACUGGAAUUCUCGGUGUAGCGGUGAAAUGCGUAGAUAUCGAGAGGAACACCUGCGGCGAAGGCGGGUCUCUGGACAGUUCCUGACACUGAGACACGAAGGCCAGGGGAGCAAACGGG